rnacentral:rRNA from 1 species
UACGAAGGGUGCUAGCGUUGUCCGGAUUUAUUGGGCGUAAAGCGCUCGCAGGCGGCCCGAUGCGUCGUGCGUGAAACACCCCGGCUCAACUGGGGAGGGUCGUGCGAUACGGUCGGGCUUGAGGGCAGUAGGGGGAUGCGGAAUUCCUGGUGUAGCGGUGGAAUGCGCAGAUAUCAGGAGGAACACCAAUAGCGAAGGCAGCUCGCUGGGACGGUAUUGACGCUAAGGCGCGAAAGCGUGGGGAGCAAACAGG